rnacentral:lncRNA from 1 species
GUUUUUCUAGUUUGUAUUUGGAUUUGCCCAUGAUACCAUUUUCACGCAAAAGAAAUUAGACCUUAACAAUGUCAAUAACCUCCAACAAGCAUAGACUCGCAGUUGAAAAGAACACACCUGGAUUUCAAAUGUUUCACAGAAAAACAGAGGUGAAGAAGGAGGUUGAAUCAACUAUAAUUUCUUCUACAACAGCAUCAUUACUUACUUUGAGUUUACCUUUCAAGUAGAUUGUCUCCAGAAGAAGGAAGUCCUAUCAAUUAAACAUGACUCUCAAGAGAAAAACACAAUGCGUAUAAGUGAUUUUAAACAGAAUAUAGCAUCAAGAAGUAGAAAUUGCCCAAGACCCUGUUUUAUCCUGCACUUUCCCAUUACUUUGGUAAUCAACAGUUGGUUGAGGCUGGGUGCCGUGGUUCACACCUAUAAUCCCAGAACUUUGGGAGGCUAAGGCAAGAGGAUCUCUUGAGCCUGGAAGUCCGAGACCGGGCUGGAUAACAAAACAAGACCCCAUCACUAC